CCUACAUGCCUGACCUCACUUUGUCAUGUCGUCUUCAGCUGUCAGGUGGCUGGUUGUAAGUUGCGGCAUUACGAAGGACUUAGGCAUCAGGAGAAAAGAGAGAACACAUGAAAGCGUUGGAGUUUACACUCGGAUAUCACACUAAGGCUAGUUUUUUGAUUGGAAGAAAUGUUUUAAACAAAUUAUUUACAAGGCAGCUUGUUUUAUGAUAGCUGUGUCAUCGAGUCAAUGUCAGUAACAUCUGCUAAACAUAGGAGCAUUGAACAUCCAAAAUUCAUUUAUAUAUUCUCCUGACUCCAGAGCGACUACCGUUGCAGUAAGGAAUACGAAAGGUCAUCAAUUGGUUGUAGGUCAGACAGGACCAGAG